GGAAUUUCAGUAAGAAAACCCCACAAAAUCAUGCAAAUCAAGAGGUUCAAAUCUUCGUGUUCACUUUAAGAACACUUGUGAAACUGCCCAGGCCAUAAACGGUAUGCAUAUCCGAAAAGCCACCAAGUAUCUGAAGGAUGUCACUUUAAAGAAGCAAUGUGCCAUUAUGUCGUUACAAUGUGGAGUUGGUAGGUGUGCACAGGCCAAACAGUGGGGCUGGACGCAGGGUCGGUGGCCCAAAAAGAGUGCUGAAUUUUUACUGCACGUGCUCAGAAAUGCAGAGAGUAAUCCUGAACUUAAGGGCUUAGAUGUAGAUUCUCUGGUCAUUGAGCACAUCCAAGUGAACAAAGCCCCCAAGAUGCGGCACAGGACUUAAAGAGCUCACAGUCAGCCCCUACAUGAGCUCUCCCUGCCACAUUGAGAUGAUCCUUACUGAAAAAGAACAGAUGCUUCCUAAACCAGAAGAGGAGGUUGCACAGAAGAAAAAGAUGUCCCAGAAGAAACUGAAGAAACAAGAAACUUAUGGCCCGGGAAUAAAUGCCGCAGAAAAUAAAUGCAAAUAAAAUAAAAUAUUCUUCGAUAAAUUUGUAUUUUUUUUUUUAGUAAUGAAAAAGUAACCAUUGAUUCAGUGCCAGCCUGAGUGUAUGUAUUGGUAUAUAUAUAAAAGGUAUAUAUUGAGUUCAGUUUACUCAUUUUUUAUUGAAAUAUAAAUGACAUACAAUAUCAUGUUAGUUUCAGUGUACGUUAGUGAUUUGAUAUUUAUAUACAUUUUCAAAAUGGUGACUCUGGUAAAUCUAGUUACCAUUUGUCAUCAUACAAAGUUACUACAGUAUUAUUGACUGUAUUCCUUACGGUGUACUCCAUAUUUCCAUGAUUUAUUUGUUUAUAACUGAAAGUUUAUACUACUAAUUCCCUUUACCUAUUUUACCCCUUCCCCAACUCCCUAUCCUGUAGUAAAUAGCAGUUUACUUUCUGUACCUGUAAGUCUGUUUCAGUUUGAUUUUGUUAUUUAUGUCCCUUUCAAUUUCUUAUGAUUUUCCAAGUACAGCUCUUUCACCUCCUUGGUUAAAUUUAUUUCUCGGUAUUUUCUUCUUUUUGAUGCAGUUGUAUAUAUGAUUUUCUUUUUAAUUUCUCUUUGUGGUGUCUUGUUGUUAGUGUCUAGAAAUGCAACGGGCUUCUGUAUAUUAACUUUGUAUCCUGCAACUUCGCUGAAUUCAUUUAUUAGUUCUAAUAGUUGUUUUGUUGGAGUUCUUAGUGUUUUCUAUAUAUAUCAUGUCAUCUACAAAAUAUAAACAGUUUUACUUCUUCAUUUCCAAUUUUCCUGCUUAAUUGCUGUGGCUGAGACUUCCAGAUUUAUGUUGCAUAAAAGUGUCAGGAGUGGCCCUUCUUGUUCUCAGUCUUAGAGGAAAUGCUUUCAGCAUUUCACCAUUGAGUGUACGAUUAGCUGUGAAUUUGUCAUAUAUGGCUUUAAUAUGUUGAGGUUACUUUGUUGAGAAUUUUUAUCAUGAAUGGAUGGUGAAUUUUGUCAAAAGCUUUUUUGUACCUGUUGAGAUGAUAAUAUGAAUUUUAUUAUUUACCUUGUUAAUGUGGUAUAUUACAUUGAAUGAUUUGAGGAUGUUGAGCCAUCCUCACAUCCCUGAAACAAAUCCCGCCUUUUCAUGGUAUAUGAUUCUUUUACUAUAUUGUUGAAUUUGGUUUGCUAAUAUCGAGAGUUUUUGCUUCUAUGUUUAUCAGUGAUAUUGGCCUGUAAUUUCCCUUUGUCAUGGUGUCUUUGUCUGGUUUUGACAUAGGGUUAUGCUGACCUUUGAAAAUGAGGUUGGAAGCAUUCCUUCCUCUUCUAUUCUUUGGGAAUAAUUUAAGAAGGAUACAUAUUAACUCUUCUUUAGUGUUUGGUAGAGUUCACCUGUGAACUGUCUGGUCCUGAACUUUUUUGUUCAGAGUUUUUAAAUUACUCAUUCAGUUUCAUUGCUGAUAAUUGGUUUAUUCAGGUUUUGUAUAUAGAUUUUCAGUGAUUCAGUCUUGGAAGAUUGUCUGUUUCCUUACAUUUAUCCAUUUCUCUUAGGUUGUCCAAUUCAUUGGGAUGUGACUGUGACUAGCAGUCUCUUCCGAGUCUUUGUAUUUCUGUGGUAUCAGUUGUAACUUCUCUUUCAUUUCUGGUUUUAUUUGGACCCUUUGUUUUCUCACCAGGGGCGCUGGGGAGUGCUGCGUCCAACACUGGAGCUCUGCAGUUUCAGUGACGUGGCGAAAUAGUGCCACACACUACAGGGAGCAUUUCCAUGCCACCCCCCACCCCGCCAGCUGAAGUUUUUAGAUUUGAAAAACUCCUCUCCUUCUCAUAUGGUCUUGGCACAUUUUAAAACUGCUGUUUCACUGCGUUUCAGGGCAUGAGAGCCUUUUAAGGGGAGAUUCUCAGCUUCCUAUAGCACUUUGGGACCCUUGGAUAUUAGCAUCUUGUUUUCUAAGCCAGGCAUUUUAUGGCAUCUUUGUCUGGUUUUGGAAUUAGGGUGAUGGUGGCCUCAUAGAAUGUGUUUGGAAGUUUACCUUCUUCUGCAAUUUUAAGCCAGGCAUUUUAAAAGUUUGUCCGGUAUAGAUCCCAGCGACUGGGGUGCCUGACGUGGUGUGCCAACUCUUCACCCCUCCGGGGGAAGUGCCCACCUAAUGAGAUCCCCUAUUGCUGUGUGUAGCUGCAGAUGAGAGGGUUUUGGCAAGCGUGUUUCUCUGCUGCUCUUACCCAUUUUGAUGUGGUCCUCUCUCCUUUCUUGUAGCAUAGGUGUUCAGCUAGUUCUCAAUUUCUUUUCAUAGAAUAUCAAUCCACGUGUAUGUGCUCAGUCACUUCAGUCCUGUCUGACUCUUUGAGACCCUGUGGGCUGUAGCCUGCCAGGCUCCUCUGUCCAUGGGGAUUCUGCAGGUAAGAAUACUGGAGUGAGUUGUCAUGCCCUCCUCCAGCGGAUUUUUCAGACCCAGGGAUCAAACCCACGUCUCUUAUUUCUCCUGCUUUGGCAGGCGGGCUUUUUACCACUAGUGCCACCUGGUUAUGUCUGUGGGAGGAAGUAAGGCUCUUACUACGUCACCAUCUUGAACCCCCAGUCUUGCUUUUACUGUUACAUGGUUAGUAGCAGAGAUAUGGACAGUGAUAUCUUAAUAUAUAAAGGAGGAGAAACUCUACCGUGUGCUUAAAGCUGCUUUUUUUAGUAGUCAUGAUGGAUUUAUACUGUUACAUUCACAGUACAACCCCUUUGGAAUGCCAUAUAUUUGUAGUAUUAAUGAUAGUGUUUGUAAAGUACUAAAUGAACUAAAUAGCUAAGGUUCCGUGAGUCUGGGUCAUAUUUUAAUAGAUUCCCUUAAUCUCAGUCUCAUUGCAAAGAGAAUUGUAUGCAUUCUUCAGUGAUAUAGUAAGAUAAUGUAAAUGGCUAAGGAAAUCUGGGUAACUGGAGCAUAAAGAAUAUAAGUAGUUAUAAGGAUGAAAUGAAUAUUCAAAAAUGUAUGCUAUGACAUGCAGCCUUAAAAGACUCAGAAAAAAAGACUUAAAAUCCUCGAGUUUCCAAAUGGCCAAUGAAAAGAGGGAUUAGUGUUUAAAAGAGAAGUGGUGGGGGUUUUUUUUGCCAAAAAAUACUUAACGGUCUUAAAUAGUUGAGAUAAGUGCCUAAAUUAGAACAGCUACUUGUUCUGUAGAAGAGGAUUAUGAAAUCACGCAUUGCUAAAGGUCGUAAGUUUUGUAGUUUGUUUUUUUAAAAUUGGAGUAUAGUUGUUUUAUAUUGGUAGUUUCUGCUCUACAGCAAAGUGAAUAAAUCAUACCUGUGCAUAUUUCCAGGCUUCCCUUCAGCUGGUAAAGCAUCUGCCUGCAAUGCAGGAGACCCUGGUUUGAUUCCUGGGUCAGGAAGAUUCCUUGGAAAAGGGAUACGCUACCCACUCCAGUGUUCUUGGGCUUCCCUGGUGGCUCAG